GCUUAAUACAUCUCAUGAUCUCUCUGAAAGUUCUUCUCCAUGGUGUUUUGUGACCGUGUCCAUAUAAACAGCAGAGCAACAAUAACACAACCAAAGGGUAGAACACAUGUGUAAUGCACAAAUUAAGACAAUGACAUUGAAGAGCCCUCAAGUUCUCGAAAAUAUAUCUCUCUGAGCAAGUAUGAGAAGACUAGCUUGCAUGCAACAAGCUACUGGGCUGUAUUCUGACCUUUUUAACACUGGUUUAAAUUUGGAGUGAUUUAAUUUACUUUACUCCAGCACAGCCGACAUCAGGAACUGUCCGUAUAAUCAAUACAGUAGGCAUAUUGACCUAAACCUUCUGGAAAUAAAUAAAUACUGUCACGAACAGUCCUCUCUCAGGGAAACAGACAGAAACACCUGACUUUAAACAGACUUUUAGAAAACACAUCUCUUAUGAAAUCUCUUGGGAGAAGGAGUUCUUUCAGCCUCCCAGGGCAUAGCAAGCAAAGCAAGAAAGCAAAGAUGAGCAAGUAACAUUUGGUAUCUUCCUGUUGUCCUGCUUAUCAAUCCGGACCACACAGCAGCAGCUUUUGGUCACAUCUAUUUGAAACCUGGGAAAACAGUUGUCAGAAGAUGAGUCAAAGGAUGUUUUCUCCCUAUUUAGAAAACACUAGACCAUGAAAAGAUAUAUUAGCAUAAAUUUUAUAAUUCUAUUUAUUAAUUUUUCAAAUUGUGUUUGAGAGGAUCUGAAGGCCAGGCACAAGAGGAAUGUUACUCUGCGUGAACUAAGCCACCUUUUCCAUGGAGUCAGGAUGGUUAUCGACCUUCAGCUGAUGUGAGAUAAGUAGCAAAGCUGUAAGGGUUUGACUGAAUGUUUGCGCUCCAAGUUCUAACUUGUGUCUGGCUUAUACCUGUGUAGCUUCUCAGUGUGUUCUCCCAGUUCUGUCAGAGUUUUUCAUGAGUGGGAAAUAAUUUCUUCACUUGUGACGGAUGUUUGAGCUAAAAAAUAUUUGCAAGGUGCUGGGAACAGGUAAUUCACUGUGGCAUAAGCUAAUGACCCAGACCUAACCUGGCACUUUCUUUUUGCUGGUUAAGUU
rnacentral:lncRNA from 1 species